CCCCAGUAACGGCGAGUGAAGCGGCAACAGCUCAAAUUUGAAAUCUGGCCCCUAGGGCCCGAGUUGUAAUUUGUAGAGGAUGCUUUUGGCGAGGCGCCGCCCGAGUUCCCUGGAACGGGACGCCACAGAGGGUGAGAGCCCCGUCUGGCUGGCCGCCGAGCCUCUGUAAAGCUCCUUCGACGAGUCGAGUAGUUUGGGAAUGCUGCUCUAAAUGGGAGGUAUAUGUCUUCUAAAGCUAAAUAUUGGCCAGAGACCGAUAGCGCACAAGUAGAGUGAUCGAAAGAUGAAAAGCACUUUGAAAAGAGGGUUAAACAGUACGUGAAAUUGUUGAAAGGGAAGCGCUCAUGACCAGACUUGGGCUUGGCGGAUCACCCGGCGUUCUCGCCGGUGCACUUCGCCUCGCCCAGGCCAGCAUCAGUUCGCGCCGGGGGACAAAGGCUUCGGGAACGUGGCUCCUCCGGGAGUGUUAUAGCCCGUUGCGUAAUACCCUGGGGCGGACUGAGGUCCGCGCAUCUGCAAGGAUGCUGGCGUAAUGGUCAUCAGCGACCCGUCUUGAAACACGGACCAAGGAGUCGUCUUCGUAUGCGAGUGUUCGGGUGCAAAACCCCUACGCGUAAUGAAAGUGAACGCAGGUGAGAGCUUCGGCGCAUCAUCGACCGAUCCUGAUGUUCUCGGAUGGAUUUGAGUAAGAGCAUACGGGGCCGGACCCGAAAGAAGGUGAACUAUGCCUGUAUAGGGUGAAGCCAGAGGAAACUCUGGUGGAGGCUCGCAGCGGUUCUGACGUGCAAAUCGAUCGUCAAAUAUGGGCAUGGGGGCGAAAGACUAAUCGAACCUUCUAGUAGCUGGUUUCCGCCGAAGUUUCCCUCAGGAUAGCAGUGUUGAACUCAGUUUUAUGAGGUAAAGCGAAUGAUUAGGGACUCGGGGGCGCUAUUUAGCCUUCAUCCAUUCUCAAACUUUAAAUAUGUAAGAAGCCCUUGUUGCUUAGUUGAACGUGGGCAUUCGAAUGUAUCAACACUAGUGGGCCAUUUUUGGUAAGCAGAACUGGCGAUGCGGGAUGAACCGAACGCGAGGUUAAGGUGCCAGAGUAGACGCUCAUCAGACACCACAAAAGGCGUUAGUACAUCUUGACAGCAGGACGGUGGCCAUGGAAGUCGGAAUCCGCUAAGGACUGUGUAACAACUCACCUGCCGAAUGUACUAGCCCUGAAAAUGGAUGGCGCUCAAGCGUCUCACCCAUACCUCGCCCUCAGGGUAGAAACGAUGCCCUGAGGAGUAGGCGGACGUGGAGGUCGUGACGAAGCCUAGGGCGUGAGCCCGGGUCGAACGGC
rnacentral:rRNA from 1 species